AUUGAACGCUGGCGGCAGGCCUAACACAUGCAAGUCGAGCGGAUGAAGGGAGCUUUCUCCUGUAUUCAGCGGCGGACGGGUGAGUAAUGCCUAGGAAUCUGCCUGGUAGUGGGGGAUAACGUCCGGAAACGGGCGCUAAUACCGCAUACGUCCUGAUGUAGAAAGUGGGGGAUCUUCGGACCUCACGCUAUCAGAUGAGCCUAGGUCGGAUUAGCUAGUUGGUGGGGUAAAGGCCUACCAAGGCGACGAUCCGUAACUGGUCUGAGAGGAUGAUCAGUCACACUGGAACUGAGACACGGUCCAGACUCCUACGGGAGGCAGCAGUGGGGAAUAUUGGACAAUGGGCGAAAGCCUGAUCCAGCCAUGCCGCGUGUGUGAAGAAGGUCUUCGGAUUGUAAAGCACUUUAAGUUGGGAGGAAGGGCAGUAAGUUAAUACCUUGCUGUUUUGACGUUACCAACAGAAUAAGCACCGGCUAACUUCGUG
rnacentral:rRNA from 1 species